CAUUUCCCUGCAUGUCGAUUUCAUUCUCUUGGCAUAUGAAUUGUGCUGUUGCAAAGGUGGUGGAAUGAAGUGAUUCAAACCAGAAGCCUGAUUGCAUGGAAAUAUCAAACGGGAAGGAAUCUUUUUGCCAACUUACUGUAAGCUGUAAACAUCUGUUCAAAGAUGUUUCAACAAACUGCCUCAGCCUUAGAAACAUAACAACCAGUAGCCAAAAUCACCAGUUCUGCGCUGACUGGCUGACACACAAAUUUCAGUCUCUACACAAGACCACCCCAUGGCCCUCAUUACAAGCAUCCCACUGCCACCCGAUGUCACUGUCUAAUUACAAUCACCCUUGAUCUGCUCGAUCAUGACGUGAGACCUGCAGCUCACUGGCGUGCAGUGCCGAGGGUCUUUUCCCCGCAGGCGGUGUGCUGAGACGGCCCGACAGGACUGAUGAGGACGACGCUUGCGGCUCUCCCUCCACGCUGCACCGCGAGCCGACAGGCGGAGGAUCAUUAGUGAACCAGCUGUUAACAAGCAGCGACAGGACAGCCAAUAUCACUUCCUGUGUGAGUGACACGCCGUGGGUGGCAACGCGAGGCCAGGUGGGCACAAGUUCAUCUGAUUUAAAACUCUAAAUCUCCUGC